CAGAAUCCAUAUGAAAACGCUUGGAAGCCAAAACAACAUGGCAAAUACAACAGGUAGAAAUGUUAAUUACUAUCUUUGCCGGCAGGAUGUGAAGUGUUGCAGCUGAAGGGGGUGGCACAGUAACACAUUAAGAGUCAUUUUAGCCAAGUUGCAACAAAAAACAAUUUUUUUUUUUAUUAGCACACACAGGCUAGCAAGAAUGUUGUUAGAUGUGAGAACAGAAAUUCAAGCAGCAUCAUCUUCCUUUUCACAGGUGAACUAGUGUUAAUAUUGUAGGGGUUUAAAACUUAUCAGCCACAAAGCACUGAAACGAUUUAACAUUUAUUUAUUGAUUCAUGCUACUGAUGUGGUACUUCAGCAUUAGUAAAAUUCUUGAUCAUCUUGGACUCGGACUUAUGAGUUUUCUAAUUUUAUCAAGAGCAUACCAACAAAUUUUGUUUCCUCUUCAGUUUAGAGUAAAACUCCUGGCCGUAUUCAUGUGCAACCAAUAAAGUCAUUUUACUUUGAAGAGUUUAAUGCCUGUGCCCCGAGGGGGGGGGAAAGGAAAACAAAUAUUCCAGUGCAUAUAGUUGUUUUUCUGUUUAUACAACAGCGUGUUUCCACAGAAAGAACUCUCAUUCUAGAACAGGUUCAGUGCCUGUGCUUUGUUGAGAGCUGACGCCUGCUUUAAUCCGUUUUGGGAUUAAGCCGAACCCCUAGGGGGCAGUGUAGCACAAAGUUAAACCCUAUGCCAGUGAAACAGAACCCUGUAAAACAACCAGAACUUCCUGUUAGGAAUUAAACUUGGCACCUGGAGGUUUCAAUUGUGUGGGAAUUGCAUCAAGGCAACGUGCCUGGACGUGUCAUACCUUGCCAACAGAGGUGGAGUGCUCCUGUACUUCCUCCAGGAAGUUUCCCAAAAGGCUCCAGUCUGCCAUGACUGACUCAAGCUGGGCGUGGAGCUUUUAAUUCACCCUUCUGAUGACCGCUGAGCUGCUGACCUGCAGACACAAGAUGAUGGAAAGGGCACAUCAGGUGAAGGAGCAAGACGAAGGAGAAAAAGAAAUGACGGAGGAUGAGUGGAGGAGGGCGGUGGCAGAGCUCAAUGCUUUACAGG